CUGUGCUAGAUGGGGCGUUAGCGGUUCCCUGUAACCUGAAAUCCGCUUUAGCAGGAUUUAAUUCCGAGGGGCGGGUUUAGCUGUCUUUGUUUAAUUUAGUAAGCGGUGUUGAUGUAUUCAGCUUUGCGCAAUGUAUUUAUAUUAAAUCCCGUCAGGUCUGGAAGGAAGCAGCGGUAGGUAUUAUUUGCAUGUGCCGUAAAUUCCUGAUGCUGAGCUGGCUGCUAAUGAUGAUAGAUGAUAGAGGAUUCAACCUUCGGUGCACAG
rnacentral:SRP_RNA from 1 species